rnacentral:rRNA from 1 species
AAUGAACGCUGGCGGCGUGCCUAAUACAUGCAAGUCGAGCGAACAGACGAGGAGCUUGCUCCUCUGACGUUAGCGGCGGACGGGUGAGUAACACGUGGAUAACCUACCUAUAAGACUGGGAUAACUUCGGGAAACCGGAGCUAAUACCGGAUAAUAUAUUGAACCGCAUGGCUCAAUAGUGAAAGACGGUUUUGCUGUCACUUAUAGAUGGAUCCGCGCCGCAUUAGCUAGUUGGUAAGGUAACGGCUUACCAAGGCGACGAUGCGUAGCCGACCUGAGAGGGUGAUCGGCCACACUGGAACUGAGACACGGUCCAGACUCCUACGGGAGGCAGCAGUAGGGAAUCUUCCGCAAUGGGCGAAAGCCUGACGGAGCAACGCCGCGUGAGUGAUGAAGGUCUUCGGAUCGUAAAACUCUGUUAUUAGGGAAGAACAAAUGUGUAAGUAACUAUGCACGUCUUGACGGUACCUAAUCAGAAAGCCACGGCUAACUACGUG